CACCCUUGAGCAUUGUCUCAUCAAGUGCACCUUUGCCAUCAAUCACCUUCACCGAAAGUAAGACUAGUUGGCACCCAACACCUAAAGCCCUUCAAUCAUGAUGAGACGACCAUUACUUGUUAAGCCACCCUACAUUGCCUCACUACCGAUCUACAGGAUCAUAGAGCCGUCUCUAAUAGGGGACAAAGAGGUGAUCCAUUCACUAAUAAGAUGCCUAUACGUUGCAUCCCAAAUCUCGCAUAUAAAAGCCUUCUCACCUCGGUAGAAAGGGGACAUUAGAU
rnacentral:lncRNA from 1 species